UACGUAGGAGACGAGCGUUGUCCGGAGUUACUGGGCGUAAAGGGUGCGCAGGUGGCCGCGCGCGUGGGGGAUGAAAUCGCCUGGCUUAACUGGGCGGGGGCCUUCCAGACGGCGUGGCUUGAGCAGCGGAGGGGGGCGUGGAAUUCCGGGUGGAGCGGUGAAAUGCGUAGAGAUCCGGAGGAACACCGACGGCGCAGGCAGCGCCCUGGUCGCUUGCUGACACUGAGGCACGAAAGCUGGGGGAGCAAACAGG
rnacentral:rRNA from 1 species